UUCACCGAAGAACUCACCAUACCUCCCAUUUCUUCUGGGAAACAUCUAUAUGGGGCCACUAGACAGCCACUCAUACUAGGUUAACUGAAGUACAAGCUGAAUCUCAGCCCUAAACUCGAUCCUCUCUCCAAAAAUCGUGUCAAAGCCAUAUCAUGCCACCUAUCUCUCCAUUGCCAGCACAACAUCCAUUCUUUGAUUAACCACUUCACCAGAUAACUCAUCCCACUUUCCUCAUCAUGUUCCAAGGAAGAACUUAGAGAAAACUCCCUCGGAAUUUCCGAGAACACCCACUUGUUCAUCCUUCCCGAAGGUGUUUGAUCCGCUGUAUGUCUUCUCUGGUGAGCUUCGCCACAAUCUAAUCAUAAGAACGUGAUCUAUAGAUCCUUUCCAUGGAUCAAACACAUUCCGUCGAGCUCGUCGGCGUCCUCGGUGUCCAGAGCGCCGCCGUCGGUCGCUUCGCCGUUCCCGAUGAUCCGGUGCAUCUCCGACCUAGCCGCUGCGCCAUGAGCGUCGCCAAGGUUCUAGGAUAAGGCCUGCGAAGGGAAUCGCGCUGAAGAGCAGCCAACAAGGAGAUCCUCUCUUUCUUCCUCAAGUCCGGCCGCCGGCCAACGUCGUCCGUUCCUCGCUCUCGGGUGAGCUUCGGCGCAGUUCCUCGUUCGUGUAGCAUCCUUAGAUUGUCGUUGAGCCGUUCCACUUCUCUUCUUGGCAGUCCGGAGUCUGGAAGGGGGUCGACGCCGUUGCCAUGCCGUUUCUUGCCGUCGCCGGAGCAUCCUUCACGCCGUCGUCGCCAUUCAAGCGUUACCGGCGCAUGUCCAACCCACAACGGUGAAUUCGUUACCGGUGAGGUGAUUGGUCUUAUAGCUGAUCUCAAGAAGGUCUUAUAUCAACCAAGGCAAGUGUUGCCCUUCCUUUGAACACAUUGAAUCCCAUGUUUUCGGGCUAAAUGUUUUGAUUGUAAAAGUUGCAUGCGUAAUUCGAACUAUCGAAACUGGAUUGUAGAUAUGACCAAAAAAAAAAAAAAUUUGCAUGAACCCUUUUGAAAAUCACUCCCUUGCUGUUUUGAACCUUAGGAAUAAUUAGAGUACUUUUAUUGUGCUCAUAUAGCUAAGUUAAGCUUUUAUAAAAUGCUAAUGCUUAGCCUUGCUUAGUAAUAAAUAAAAACAUGGCUAUGGAAUCACUUAUUAUACUAUUUGGAAAACCUUUUUAUGUGAUAUGGGCAGCGAUGUGUUCGCUGGAUAUUUGUGAAAUAAAAUGAGAUGAAAUGUGAUUUUUAGACUUGAGCGGCAUGUGGUAUGCAUAUGGUGGUAGUUGCAUACUGAUAGGGGGAGUAUUCGCCCGAGUCGAUUAAGGACCGAACAUAUCACCCAUUAUGUUUACCGUACAUCCACAUGUGCUAGUAUGGGAUGGCCUAAGCUGAUUAAUCUAUUUAGGACUAGCCUUGCAUUCUGGUAGGCCGGUGUGUAUGAGUUAGUCGAUAAUUCUGAGAAUUUUGUCGAUAACUUAGAGGAACUACCCAUGAGUGUGUGUUUGUGAUGAUCAUAGGAUGAUACAUUCCCUAUGUGUGUGUGUGUGUUCCGUGAGGGGUGUACUGAUCCACCUCACGGCAUGGGCGUCUAAGUCUGUCCAAUACAACGGUAUUGUGCCACGUGGUGGGUUCCCGUCGUGUCCGCCACCACGGCAUUAAGUUUAAGGCGUGGGCCCGCCACUUAACGGUUCUAGACAUAUUUCCAAGUAUACCUAAGAUGGAGGAACACGUAUCGUGCUGGUGCAAGGCUAGAUUCUAAGUAGUGUAAAGGCUUCGUUAUGACCUCUAGACCGCACUCAACGUAUAGAGUGUGGUGGU